GACGAACGCUGGCGGCGUCCUUAACACAUGCAAGUCGUACGGUAAGGCCCUUUCGGGGGUACACGAGUGGCGAACGGGUGAGUAACACGUGAGUAACCUGCCCACAACUUUGGGAUAACGCUAGGAAACUGGUGCUAAUACUGGAUAUGUGCUCCUGCUGCAUGGUGGGGGUUGGAAAGCUCCGGCGGUUGUGGAUGGACUCGCGGCCUAUCAGCUUGUUGGUGGGGUAGUGGCCUACCAAGGCGGCGACGGGUAGCCGGCCUGAGAGGGUGACCGGCCACAUUGGGACUGAGAUACGGCCCAGACUCCGACGGGAGGCAGCAGGGGGGAAUAUUGCACAAUGGGCGCAAGCCUGAUGCAGCAACGCCGCGGGCGGGAGGACGGCCUUCGGGUUGUAAACCGCUUUCAGCAGGGACGAAGCUUUUUGUGACGGUACCUGCAGAAGAAGCACCGGCUAACUACGUG
rnacentral:rRNA from 1 species